CCAGGCUUGUGUUGGAGGAGAA
rnacentral:misc_RNA from 1 species